GACGAACGCUGGCGGCGUGCCUAAUACAUGCAAGUUGAGCGAUGAAGAUUGGUGCUUGCACCAAUUUGAAGAGCAGCGAACGGGUGAGUAACGCGUGGGGAAUCUGCCUUUGAGCGGGGGACAACAUUUGGAAACGAAUGCUAAUACCGCAUAACAACUUUAAACAUAAGUUUUAAGUUUGAAAGAUGCAAUUGCAUCACUCAAAGAUGAUCCCGCGUUGUAUUAGCUAGUUGGUGAGGUAAAGGCUCACCAAGGCGAUGAUACAUAGCCGACCUGAGAGGGUGAUCGGCCACAUUGGGACUGAGACACGGCCCAAACUCCUACGGGAGGCAGCAGUAGGGAAUCUUCGGCAAUGGACGAAAGGCUGGCCGAGGAACGCCGCGUGAGUGAAGAAGGUUUUCGGAUCGUAAAACUCUGUUGGUAGAGAAGAACGUUGGUGAGAGUGGAAAGCUCAUCAAGUGACGGUAACUACCCAGAAAGGGACGGCUAACUACGUG
rnacentral:rRNA from 1 species